AUGACCACAUCACAUUGAAAUACCAGUUUUCAUAUGAUCACCGAAGUUGAGCAACGUCGAGUCUGGUCAGUAACUAAAUGAGUGACCACUUGAGAAUACCAGGUGCUGUAA